GUUUACUUCUAGCAACACUAUCCUGAUGCUGUCAGAGUAAGUGGUAAAUCUCCAGCAUCAGUGAUUUUGUUGUUAGUGGUA
rnacentral:pre_miRNA from 12 species